UGCUGUAAUGAUGAUUGGCAAAAUGUUCAACUGCUCUGAAGAAUGUGAAUGAGCUAUGCCUUUCUGAACUGUU